AUGAGGUUCCCUGCUCAGUUUCUGGGUCUGCUUAUGUCCUGCAUCCCAGGAUCCAGAAAUGAUGUUGUGAUGACCCAGAGUCCACUCUCCCUGUCCAUCAUCAAGGGAGAGCCAACCUCCAUCUCCUGCACAUCUAGUGAGAGUAUCGUGAAUAGUAAAGGAACCUAUCUGAAUUGGUUCCAUCAGAAGCCAGGCCAACCUCCAAGGCUCCUUUUCUAUACCGUUUCUAACCGACAGCCUGGGGUCCCAGACAGGUUCAGUGCCAGUGGGACAGGAACAAAAUUCACUCUUCACAUUAGCAGGGUGGAGCCUGAGGAUGUUGGCACUUACUACCGCAUGCAAGCUUCAAGGUUACCUCACACAGUGAUACAGCCCUGA